rnacentral:lncRNA from 1 species
GAUGUGAUGUUCAUUACAGCAACAGGAAACUGUGCAGAGAGUCGUUUAAGAGCCGCACGUUUUACACUGUACAUUAUUUCCCAUUUGCACCAAAAUGACUGCUAUGAAAAGAGUUAUAGAAAUAAAUACAUAAAUAUUAUUAUUAUUAAAUAAUGUUUUAAAUAUAAAAUAUAAUUUAAAUAUUUAACUAAAUAUGUAACUGCUUUUACUAAUGUUGCUGUUAUUUAAAUGGCUUACAAUGACAUACAAAUAUUUAUAUAACUAAUUGUCAUCUUAUUCUCUAUGAAGGAACAAAAAGGCUAUUCUGUUCUUUUCAAGAUGAAAUAUUAAGAGUGAGACAGUACAGUACAUUCAGUCUGAAUUCAUCCACUUCCAUCAUUUUCUGAAUCAAAGCAAAUCAAAACCCUUAUAAAAACGAAUUUCGAUUACGAUUUUAUAUAAUAACGAUUCGCGAAUCAUUUGAUUCAGAUCGAGACUUCGGAGUGUUGCAAUUUUUUUUUCUUUUUUUUUUUUUACAGUACAAAACAUCAAACCAUUAAAGCAGCACAGUUAUAGAAAGAAUAAGCUACAUAAAUACAUAACCCUUACAAUUAAUAGUAGGCUAACCAUGUUUUUUUUGUAUGUAUGUAAUGGUUAAACUAUUGUUAGUGUGGCAAAACCAUGCAUGGCUAAUUAAUGGUUACCAUAGUUUAACUGUAUGUUUUUGUUCACCUACACACAAGCUGAACACAGAGAUGUAGUUUUCACUGCUUUAGGACGAACAGAACUCUGGAUAGUCUGGAUGUACUCGUCUAGAUCAACUCUGAAUAAAGACAAGAGAGCUCUAGAGCCAGAACUUUUGUUUAUGUGAACUUCAGCCGGCAGGAAACAAAUGAAGUUAUAUUUUCCUAUAUUCUCUUUCGCACAGUCAAACAAUCCAAAGAAAACAUCUUUAAAGCAGAAAGAAAACACACUUGAACAUCUGAUCAAAAUGUCUCUGAGUACAGAACAAGUGAAUGAAUCUUCCAGUGCACGUGAUUCAGUAACUCUGGCCUGACCUCAAUCCAGUGAUGUAACAGCGGCGAUGGUUUCCACCAAUCAGAGCGCACGCGACAUGAUCACAUGCCACCUUCAGACUGAAAACAUGUACGAUUACACACGUGAUAAACUUGCACUAAAUGUGCUAAAAUUAUUACAAAUAAAACUGAUACCCAAGUGUUACCCUCCAGAGCCUUAGUGGGAGACUGGUACCAGUGUGUGUGUGUGUGUGUGUGUGUGUGUGUGUGUGUGUGUGUGUGUAGUGUGUAUAGUGUGUGUGUAGUGUGUGUGUGUGUGUAGUGUGUGUGUGUGUGUGUGUGUGUGUGUGUGUGUGUGUGUGUGUGUGUGUGUGUGUGUGUGUGUGUGUGUGUAGUGUGUGUGUGUGUGUGUGUGUGUGUGUGUGUGUGUGUGUGUGUGUGUGUGUGUGUGUUUGUGUGUGUGCAUACAGUGAGUGAAGUUAUGAAAACUUGUUCUCUUUGUUCAACUGGGAGCUUGAGUUUCAGAGCUUGUUAGAACAAGAUCAGAGUUAGCGAAUGCACUUCUCUUAUGUGAAGUUUUCUAAUAUUUUACUUAAGACCCAGUCUGAUUUGCUGACCUCUUUUUGAGAAUCUGUAACCAAAUCCACUUCACCAGAGCUCCAAGUUUGGCCCCCUGGACCUUUAUCUGGAGCUUUAAUUGCUCAUUUUGCCUGACAUCGCUUUUAUGUGUGUUAAACUCUGCACAAAUGCUGGACAGAACCUAUUUUUAGGCUUAUUCAUACUAAUGAAAGACUGAUAUUGCCUUGACCUAAUUACUUAUUUUGUUUAGUGUAGUGUAGUGUAGUGUAGUGUAGUGUAGUUUAGUUUAGUUUAGUGAAUUUCCACUAUUACACCUCUCCAUUGGCUGAGAACAUAGGUUGAGAAGGAAUUCCUCUGAAGCAGUGUUAGGGCUUUUUGCAUCAAUUAAAUAGCUAUCUGACAUUUGCCCUCAUACAUUUAACCUUUGACCUUCCUUGUAUUGGACACCAAAUUCCUCCCUAAGGUGCGGCAGUUCUGACUCACACCAUAAGUGCCAGCAUUAAGAGUACCACUUUCAUUGCAAAGUGAGGUUCCUGUCUCAAAUAUCAGAGAGUGUGUGUUUUCACUUGUUUUGUAUGUAAAUUACAUGUGCAUGUCUCUGCCUGUUUGAGGAAUCAUGCCAGCAUUGCAUUUUAGUGCAAACUGCUGAACAUCAUCCAAUCAAAUCCUCAUCAAGCAGUGUAGUGAUUACUUACUUUUUUUUUAAGCUACUUGGAACUAUAGAAUAUUUCCCAUUCAUUUUCUUUUUAGGCAUUUAAAAAGGUUUAAACCUUAAACCAUCAAUUAUUCACAACAGUACCAAUUGAGAUGAAAAGGAAUGCUGACAGAAUACUUUCUCAAGAUUA